UACGUAGGAGGCGAGCGUUGUCCGGAUUUACUGGGCGUAAAGCGCGCGCAGGCGGCUCUGUAAGUAAGGUGUGAAAUCUCCCUGCUCAACGGGGAGGGUGCAUUUUAGACUGCAGAGCUAGAGGACGGUAGAGGGGGGUGGAAUUGCUGGUGUAGCGGUGAAAUGCGUAGAGAUCAGCAGGAACACCCGUGGCGAAGGCGGCCCCCUGGGCCGAACCUGACGCUGAGGCGCGAAGGCUAGGGGAGCGAACGGG
rnacentral:rRNA from 1 species